rnacentral:rRNA from 1 species
GAUGAACGCUGGCGGCGUGCCUAAUACAUGCAAGUCGAGCGAGCGGACGAGAAGCUUGCUUCUCUGAUGUUAGCGGCGGACGGGUGAGUAACACGUGGAUAACCUACCUAUAAGACUGGGAUAACUUCGGGAAACCGUAGCUAAUACCGGAUAAUAUUUUGAACCGCAUGGUUCAAAAGUGAAAGACGGUCUUGCUGUCACUUAUAGAUGGAUCCGCGCUGCAUUAGCUAGUUGGUAAGGUAACGGCUUACCAAGGCAACGAUGCAUAGCCGACCUGAGAGGGUGAUCGGCCACCCUGGAACUGAGACACGGUCCAGACUCCUACGGGAGGCAGCAGUAGGGAAUCUUCCGCAAUGGGCGAAAGCCUGACGGAGCAACGCCGCGUGAGUGAUGAAGGUCUUCGGAUCGUAAAACUCUGUUAUUAGGGAAGAACAUAUGUGUAAGUAACUGUGCACAUCUUGACGGUACCUAAUCAGAAAGCCACGGCUAACUACGUG